CUCCAACUCUGUCCAACAUCUGGAAGAACGAUUGCCUGUCUUUAAAUUUGGAAUUAAUCUCCAAUUGCAUACUCCUGCUAGGCUGAUGUUUCAGUAAAUUCUAACGCAUCAGCCUCAGAUCUUUGAUUCCUUGAGCUUUUGGAAGUAGAAGUUAAAGUCUGAGAGGGUGUUUCAAGACUUAGGAAACUUAGUGCUGUGGAAUGACCUGUGCAUCUGACAAGGCCCCUUUAACAAUGUUGUGUGUCACUGCAUGUUCUUAUUUGUAAUCAAAACAGUAGGUACAAUAUUUCAAUAAGGGGUGUUUUUGGCAUGGUUACUUAAUCCUAAGCUCUGAGAGGCACAGGAAGUAAAAGAAAAGUUAAAGAUGACAAUUAAGGUGUUGGGCCCAGUUAGAUAUAGUGAAGUCAGAAUUUUCCCUCAUUAAAACUGUUAGACCAAUUUCAUUAGACGGAAAUGCACCCACAUAUGUAAAUCUUCUUUGUUUAAUUGGAGACCUAUUGAUUGUAGGUAACAUAAGCCUCUCUAAGGGAAACAGAACCCAACUGAAGAUAAGAGUUUCUUCCCCCCAACACAUACAGCAUUCAUGAUUUUAUUUCUCUAGGCGUGUUCAUUAUCAAAAUCAUUCUACUGCAGACUUUCCCAUAAAGUGUUUCUGUCUGGCCCUGUUUUCAUAUCUAAAAGCUUCUAGUGGUUUCAGCAAGAAAUGAUGGAAACAUUUUGACAGAAUAUAUAUUUCUUUUUUUAAAACUAAGAUCUUAAAAUUAAAGAGAAACAAAAACUUACAAAAUCACAUGAAAAUAUAAUGCUUUAAAGAGACUGAGAAUAAUUGUCUUCUUUUGUGCUUUCAUAGAAUGCUAAAAGAAACCAAAUUCUGAUCUUCUUUGGGUAUUACUGAUCUCUAAACAAGAUGUUUAAUUAGCAGAAUUAUAGCAUCUUAGAUAAAAUUGGUUAUUUUUAACUUAAUCACGUAGUUGAUGCUACAGAAAUGAAUUCAUGGCCUUUCUUGUGGUGCUCGUCUUUUUCUUGUUUGAUGUUGCUAGUUGAACACAUCUCAGGUUGUGAGAAGUGCAUAUUUAGAUGGGAACAUCUUGGAGAGAUCUUGAUUGGUAGAGAGUAACUUUAUAUCAUGUUCAUCUCACAUUAGGUUUGUAUUCCAUCCGGAAUUUGUGUAUGGUGUGAGGUAGGGAUCCAAUUUCAUUUUAUUCUGUAUGAAUGGACAGUUUUCACUUUAUCACUUAUUGAAUAAUUUCUCUAUUCCCCAAAUAAUGUAAAAUGAUACCUCUGUCAUUUAUUUUUUAUAUUUGUGUAUGUCUGUUUUUGGAUUCUUUGCUCUGUUACACUGAUCAACUUGUCUGCCCUAUACCAUCACCACAAUUUUUCACUUACUAAGCCCUUAUAAUGAGUCUUGAUAAAGCAAAAUUUCACACCUCUUUUUGAAAUAAAUUUUUUAGUUAUUCUUUACCCCUCACUAUUCCAUAUAUAUCAUGGCAUUACUUUGUCAAGUUUUGUGAAACAUCCUAUUGGGACUUUGUUUAGAAAUAUAUUGAAUCUACAGAUAAAGGAAAUUGACAUCUUUUUUUAACUAUCAAAUAUUAUUAUCUAUGAACAUGAUGGCAAAUGUAUAAUGUAUAGCCUUUAAUAUUCUUAAAGUGGAUGUUAGUUAAGGACAAUUUUUAGUUGAGAGAGAGUGAAAGAGAGAGAGAUAAGGGGGGCAGAGAGGAUUCCAUUACAUUCAGCACAGUAUGAAACUAAGUCAAAGGAGUUUUGUUAAUUAAAUUCAAUUGCCAUCCAUUAGACCAGUGGAAUGAGAUGACUCUGCCUGGUGCUGACACAGCACAGGUGUAAAAAUGAAGAAAAAAUUAUAUCUCAUGUUGUGAAAGAGUCAGACUCUGAAAUCUGCUUAUACUUUGCUAUUUACAGCCUAACAUUCAUUUCAUAUGCAUUGAUUAUUAUUGUUGAACUUGCAUUAAUUACAUCGUGCAUAUAUGGACAUACAAUGUCAUCUGCAGAAUUUAGGAUUUUUUAUUGUUAAUUUUUAUAGUGACUGUGGAUUGAGGAAUUAAAAUUAGCAUGCUUCAUUUAUAAUAGUAUUUCUAGUGUUUCAUUAGCCCUAAAAAUGUGAUAAGAUCAGGAAUAAGAUUGGAAUGAAAAUUUCUCCUUAAAAUGCAAGCACCCGUGCUUUACCUCGUGCUGACCCUUGAGCAAGGCUGCCCCUGGAUUCUGCCUUUCCUCCAGUGGUUAUCUGAGGAGUGUCUGCCAUGUCUUCUGUUUUUUUUUUUUUUUGCCUUGUUUUGAGGAGUCCCCUUUUUUCCUCCCCUGGGAGAGUUUAAAUAUGAUGCUGAUUUCUUGUCAUCUUAGGGCUCCUCAGCUACAACAAAGUUAAAUGGUAUAAAAGCAAAGCCCAAAUUAGAGACCCUAAAAUAACCUUGGAGAAGGAGAGUUCUCAGUUAUCAGUAGAAUUGUCUUAGGAAUUUGAGGAAGCCCUUGUAUACAGUGAAAAUGAGACCCUAAGUUAAUUAACAAAAUGAAAAUAACUUACAGUACAUAUCUGCCACUUCCAGUACUGCUAUAAAUAAUUGCAAGUGUAAGGAUUUUUAGUGCAAAUAUGCAGAAAACAUGGGCAUAGAAAGUUUAGAUGACCUUAAUGAAGAAACAGAGUUGGCUCUGAAACUGUGCUUAGCAGGAACAACGUUUUGUGCACUUGAUAAACACUGUCAGUUGUUAAGGCAUCUUCUGAUAGGUGAAAAGCGGUUUUUUGAUGCAGUACUGCCUGGCAUGCAUCUUCUCGAUGGUCUGUUAUCUUGUGGGAAUGACAUUCGUUAAGUUGUUUUCUGUGUGCAUCCCACCCAAAUAAAGAAUGUUUCAUCAGCAAAGUGAAUUGCCGUAUAGUCAUCAGACUCUAGAAAUAAAUUAUCAACGAUGACUGCAGUGGGUGAGGCUGUUUGUUUAUCACAUCACUUGAGAACAGAGUAAAAGACUGAAGGCCAUUAUGGCUGGACAGUUAAGGGAGAGUGACCUAAAUAAAGUUCAUAUUGGCGGGAGAGCAGCUUGCCACAGGGUUACACAGAAUAGGCAGUGGUGAUUUAAGGAUUGUUUGGAAAUAUUGUUAGAAUCAAAAUCAACGUUUGUUACUACACAGGGUUGAGCAUUCCAGGCACACUCUGGUCGUUUUGUUAUUCUAAUGUCCACUUAUUUCAUGUCUGCCGUGACCGUGACAGUUUUCAGUCACACAGAGCUGCCAUCAAAAGAGUGAUAAGCUUGUAAGUGAAGCCUUUGGGGAAGCAAUAAAGUCAUUUUUCUGGUCCCAUCUCAAAAGACAUUAUUGGAAAUUUAUUUAAAAGUGAUCAAGGUAGCACAUACGAGGCCUUCUACAGUUUGCAUUUUGGAAGUUAUUAACAAUCUGCAGUUAAGUCCAUUUAAAACUGAAAGUGGCUCUUCCACAAACUACUUUUUAAAUAGCUUGCUGGUUCUAAAUUUAAGGAGAAUGGAAAUAUUGGAAAUUAAAAGUCAAAAGAAAUUUCUGGGGCAUAAGAUCCUUUCAAGUUUACAAUUUCUCACUUUAGAUUUAAAACUUGAACACGGCCAUACUUUGCAUUUUAUGAUAUCUAAUUAGUGCCUUGUAAUAUAUUUUGUGAACAGUAUCUGUUAGCCAUAAUAUCAGGGACAGUUUAAAAAAUCUUCAGUACAUUUAUGAUAAAAGUAUUAGCAUUGUAAGGUCUUAAAUUGACAUCUAGGACAUUAGGAAAUCAAAUUUAAAGCAUUGCAUUGUCUGUUACUCAAUGGAGUGGACUGAGGACAGCGUGUGACUUGUGUACUGCAAAUGAUGCAAUAGCUAAAUAUCCUAGUGUGAGUUAAGGUUGAUUAAGUGAUCAUCUUUAACUCUGCUUUUCCCAGGGCUCUUUGAACUCUUGUUUUAUUAGGUAAUAUGCUAUGCUGUUAUUUUAUUGCUGUUUAAAAAACCUUCUCUUUUGGGAAAGAAAACAUGUGAAUUCUUUGGUUUCUAGAUAGAAAUUAGCAAUCUUUUGCUCGGAAUGUAAAAGUAUGCUGUAUUAUCACAAACUGACCCUCCUCCUCCCCAAGAAUUCUAGGGAGUAAAAUGCGUGCACAGGAAAUCAGAAAUGGAUCAACAGAGUUAUAGGUUUUAAAAAAACUGCCUUGCAUUUUUGCCCUGGAAUUAAUUUUCAGUGAAAAUUAAAAUAUUUUUUCUGU
rnacentral:lncRNA from 1 species